UCUUACGGUAGGCAGCAGUGGGGAAUCUUGCGCAAUGGGCGGUUUCUAGGAGGAAAAACGCCGCGUGGGGGAUGACGGCCUUCGGGUUGUAAACCAUUUUGGUGACAGNANANAAUUAACUUGUUGGGCNUGAGGGCGAAUUGGGNCCAACNACGCAUGCUCCCUUGCGCCAUAGCAGCCGCGGUAAUAC
rnacentral:rRNA from 1 species